CUACCUCAAACAAAAUAGUCGGGUGCGAGUUGUCCAAAAGAGCCGUUUCGCUCAUAUUGAAUGUGAAAAGUGAUUUUUUGGUUGGUUAUCGUAGAUGGAUCGACCAGUAACUCGAAUCGCGAUGUUGGCAAGCUGGGAUCGGCCUGGUUUGGUCUAGGGAGCCGACGUUGGCUAACACUUCUUUUCGCUCUAUGAAAUUUUGAUUUUUGAAAAUUUAUUUAAAAAUA